rnacentral:rRNA from 1 species
GUGUCAGCAGCCGCGGUAAUACAGAGGGUGCAAGCGUUAAUCGGAAUUACUGGGCGUAAAGGGCGCGUAGGCGGUUAUAUAAGUUAGGUGUGAAAUCCCCGGGCUUAACCUGGGAAUGGCAUUUAAUACUGUAUGACUAGAGUAGAGUAGAGGGAAGUGGAAUUUCCGGUGUAGCGGUGAAAUGCGUAGAUAUCGGAAAGAACACCAGUGGCGAAGGCGGCUUCCUGGACUCAUACUGACGUUGAGGCGCGAAAGCGUGGGUAGCAAACAGGAUUAGAUACCCUUGUAGUCC